rnacentral:lncRNA from 1 species
GCAUGGCUGGAGGGGCGCAGGGCUCCGUCUUCACAGAGGAAUCCCCGGCCCGGCCCAGGGGGGUUGCUCCUCCUCACCGGCUGUCUUCAGAACCCCUGGUUCUCUUCUCUCACACAUGUGCCAGGCUGUGGACAAAUUCGGGCUCAUGUCCACAUCUGUUGGCUGGACAUGGUGUCAGCAGGCAAGGCCUGGGGUCGCUGAGGGGGCUGCAGAGUGGCCAGGAAGGUAAGACUUUGGUUGCUUUGGAAGAACAGGAUGGUGUGCUUGUUAGUGGGGCCCCAGCUGUCUUCCUAGGUGGCAUAGAAGUGUGCUGCUCUCCAAGUGUCACUCUUAUCAGGAGCCAGUGCUGGAGCACACAAGGAAGGGCCUGUCAUUGUGAAAGGCACCAGUGUCCCCACCAAGCAGAUCCUGGUGGGCAGUCUGUCCCUGCCACGGCCCAGCUCUGAGUCUUGGGCUGGGUCAUGCUUCUGCUUCCUCGCCUGGACGCUGGGACAGUGGGGCUUCCUUCUGCAGGUCAUGGAAGGAUCCAGGAGAGAGUGCUGUGGGCGCCUGUGAAUGAGAAGGCCCAGGACACGGAGGCGGCCAUCAGACUGUUCGUAAAUAAAUGGAAACCCGAUCUCCAAAGCUAACCUCGCUUCUUACAGUGUCUAAACCUCACAAACAUCCUGCCGUUUGAGUCUGCAAUGAGCUGCCAACACGAGCCCCUGGUGUUGCUCACCACAAGUGAACCUGAGCAGUGCCCCAUGGGCUGGUUUCAGGAGCUCAGCUGCAGCCCGAGGGCCCAGGGUCACCUGCAUCCUCUGCGGUUUGCGUUGGUCUGGGAGCUGGCGGGGCCGGAGGGGAAAGCCCAGGGGUAUGGGGAAGUGGCUGCAGCCCUCGACCGCUCCUCCGAGUCAUGUCUCAGUGCAAUCAGACCUGGGCCUGGGAGCUUAGCUCCAACACGAUUUACAAUUCAAUUGUGAAAUGGGAUAAAAAUUAGACAUCCCCCUUCGGGCAUCUCAAUUUUCUUUGUUAAAGCUCCGGU